UACGUAGGGUGCGAGCGUUAAUCGGAAUUACUGGGCGUAAAGCGUGCGCAGGCGGUGAUGUAAGACAGAUGUGAAAUCCCCGGGCUCAACCUGGGACCUGCAUUUGUGACUGCAUCGCUAGAGUACGGCAGAGGGGGAUGGAAUUCCGCGUGUAGCAGUGAAAUGCGUAGAUAUGCGGAGGAACACCGGUGGCGAAGGCAAUCCCCUGGGCCUGUACUGACGCUCAUGCACGAAAGCGUGGGGAGCAAACAGG
rnacentral:rRNA from 1 species